UUCACACUAAAAAAAGUUUACAUUAGCAAAUAGCAACUAGUAAUAAAUUAUCAUAAACAUUCGAUAUAAGUUGAAGAAAAAAUCCAACACCAGCACUACAGCAGCAUCCAAAACUUCCAGCAACAGCAAAAGCCAAAAGAUCUAGCAAGGAUAAUGCUAUAAAAAAACAUUAGCAAAUUAGCAACAUAUUAUAGUUUGACAAUUAAAAAUAUUAGGAAUGCAAAAUUUUAAAAGGAAUUAAUAAGGCAAAGUAAAUUAAUUACCCAAAACAAUUAUAUUCCAAGAUUGCACCAACAUCAUCAAUAUAACUUACAAAUAAUCAGUUGAGAUUUUUAAACUUUCACCAAAUUCUACAAAAACAAAAAUUAAAAUGUUAGAUUAAACAUAUGUAAAUAAAUAAUAUUACAAAAUCCCCCAAAUUGUCCACACCAAGCAUUCUCCACACCAAGCCCAAGACUAUGAAGUUGCAGUGCUAUAGUUAAAUCCCCCACCCCAAAUUGUCAAAAAAAAGGAGAAAAAAAGGAGAGAAAUCAAUCAUUCUACGAGCAUGAUUGAUUCAUGCAUGAGGCUCCAAUAAGUUCCAGAAACUGCAAGGCAUUCCUAUUCUAUUGAAGCCAUGUUCAAGCCCAUUAGAAAAGCAACCAGCAUUCCAACAGUAACAAGGUAAACACACAUCUUCCAUGACCAUCUCUUCCAUCUUCCCAGCAGGUCUUUCCUUUCCAUGUUGCGACCAUACUCUAUACCAGUCAUCAGAUCACAGCAACCCAGAACUAACGCUCCAAUACCUCGAUCAACCUUAUUUAAGGAUAAUAAAAGUUGACGCAAAUAUUCAAAAAAUUUCAGAAGACCGCAACAACCAUCUUGCACUUGAAUAGACCCAUCUGUCAAGUUUUAUUAUGUCUCCUUUUAUUUACAGCGACCUCAUCCGUAGCAAAAGAGAGACAAAUCAUAUGAUUGAUGUAAACCCACUAAACAAAGAAUCAAAGAUGAAGAUGAAGAUGAAAUUUACCUUGUUGUUGUUACUAAAAUGAAGACGCCUGAAAGAUGGAGACGGUUUCUAGAAAAGAUGGAGACGAUUUCUGGAAAAUAAAAAUAUGAAGAUGAAGAUGGAAUAGACUUAGAAAUUUAGAAAAUACUUUUAAAAUUCAAACCCAUGAAACAAAGAAUCAAAGAAGAUGGAAUUUAGUCAUUUACCUUACUAUCGUUGCUUCAGUAAAGGUUUAUGGGAAAGGAAGAUUGUGAAUUAAUUAUUAAGGAUGGGUUUUUGUUGAAAAUGGGAAGGAAGGUGAAGACGGCUUUGUGAUUGUAAGAGAAGUGAGAU
rnacentral:lncRNA from 1 species